UUCCAAAAUGAGUAUGAGUUAUUUGAAGCAUGUUGUGUGAAGAGCAUGGAUAAUAAAUCAUCACAGUUUGAUUGUGUCAUUGCCAUGGAAGAGGACUUGGGAGAGUGGAAAGUGUCAUACGAUUCUGAUAAGAAGUCAAUUUCUUGCUCAUGUCGUAAGUUUGAGACCUUUGGUAUACUAUGUUGUCAUUGUAUCAGAGUCUUUAUCCAUCUGGGUGUCAAAUCAAUGCCUGAGCAAUACAUCUUGAAGAGGUGGACAAAGUUAGCAAGAAGUGGAACUUCACCUAAUGUUGUUCUUAGCAAUAUAGUAGAAGAUGAGCGCUUGUCCACAAGUGAGUGCUAUGCAGAGAUUUGUCCUCGCCUUAUAAGGAUAGCCACUGAAGCAUGUAGAAGUCUAGACACAACCAUGUUCCUUAGAAAAGUUGUUGAUUUAUUGGAGACAAACAUACUUGAGAUUCAAAAUAAAAAGUAAGUAUCAAAAAAGUUGAAGGGUUGCUUAACAAAGUUAUAGAGUUGGAAAACAACAAUGAUGGUUCAACACAUGUGAGAGGUUUCAAGAAAAGAGAGGGUAAAAGACGUUCAAGACGUUUGAGAAGUUGGGUGGAGCGCCAACUUGUCAAAAGAAAGAAGAUUGACAACUCAAAUGCUUCACAAAGUCAAGAACCUACUACAGUAUUUUAAAAUUAUGAUGUAGAUUCAAAGUUAAUUCAACUAGGAAACUUAAUUACUUAUGUUUUUUAUUUUUUCCAUGUAGAACGAUGAUGGUAAAAGGGGUAAAAUGAGCAUGAAAGGGAAAGGUCAACAAGUUACCAAAAAAAAGAAGAGGUGAUAAUUCAAGUGCUACACAAAGUCAAGAACUUACUAAGAAUGAUGUUGGUAAAAAGGGUAUGAAAAAGAAAGGUCAACAACAAAUUACCAAAAAAAAGAAGAGGUGAUAAUUCAAGUGUUGCACAAAGUCAAGAAACUACUAUGCAAACUCAAUUUCAUUAUGAGUUGUCCAAUACAAAUGCACCAACAAGGCUCGAUAUUGUACCCAAUCAACAAUCUAUGGAAAGUAAUGAAUUUUUUAGCCAAUUCAGCAUCAAUAGUUUUACUAGUUUAUUGAUGGCACCACUUGAUGAGGAUGUCACAACCUUGACCAAUCCAUGAAGAUGUGAAGCUAAAGUCAUUUUGAGCUUAUGUUAUUUUGUUGAAGAUUUGGGGCACAACUUUCAAAUUUUAUUUAGGGGUCAUCUUAUUUUCUAAUGUAGGCAUAUAAGAAAUGUACACAAGAAGUUGUACUUCAAAUCUAAUUUUAUUGCAAUUAGAACUUCUGUUACAUUAUGGUAUUUUGUUACAUUAUGGUAAAUCCUAUUCUAUGUGUUCUUCACACUUCACAUUUCAACUUCAAACUUGAACUUCAUUUACUUUGGAGUAAGUCCUUUGAUUUUGUUCUUCACACCUGACUUGCCAUA